GUAGCUUGGUGGCAGAGAGGGUUUGCCCAACAUGCACGAUGGCCUGGAUUCCAUCCCUAGCACCAGGAAGUGGGAGGAAGAGGGAGAGGAAAACUAUCGACUUUUGUAUGUUAAUCUGAUGUUGUACAACUUUGCUAAAAUUUCUUAUAAUUUCUAGUAGUUUUAUAUUUGUUCUUUGAUUUUGUGCCUAGACAGUGUUUAAUCAGCCUUGCAUACCCAUAAUGAUUUAUUUGAUUGUGGUAUAUAAUUCUUUUGGGGUGUUGUUAGAUUCAGUUUGCUGGUAUUUGUUGAGGAUUUCUAUGUCCAUGUUUAUGAGAGGUCGGCUCUGAGGUUUUCUUUUUUGGUCAUGUCUCAUCUGCUAUUACCAUUUGGGUAUGUUAAUGUCUUUGGAAGAGAUUAUCGAGAACUGAUGUUAUUUCUUUCUUAAGUGUUUGGCGGAAUUCACCAGUGAGACCAUCUAAGCCUUGUCUUCAUCUUUUGAAUAGUUAUUAGGUAUUGAUUGAAUUUCUUAAAUUCAUGUAGUUUGGUUCAUUUUGUUUAUAUAUCUCUGUGUGCCUGAAGAUUGUAUCCUUCAAGAAGUUGGUCCAUUUUAUCCAAGUUUCCAAUUUUUAGAAAUGGAGUUAUUCACAGUAUUGCCCCACCUUUUCUUCCUUCCUUCCUUCCUUCCUUCCUUCCUUCCUUCCUUCCUUCCUUCCUUCCUUCCUUCCUUCUUUCCUUCUUCUUUCCUUCCUUCCCUAGGGGCACGUUACAUUCCCGGCCCUUUUUUAAAACUUUGAGACGGGUCUUGCUGUUGCUGAGGCUGGAUUUGAACUUGCGAUUCUCUUACCUUAGCCUCCUGAGAUGCUGGGAUUACAGGCAUGCGCUACUACGCCCAGCCAUAGGAAGGCUUAGAAGUACUUUUAAAAGGUCAGGAAGACCUUUUAUAGUCUUUUUAAUGUCUGUGGGAUUAAUGGCAAUGCUGCUUCUUUUUUUCUUUGUUAGCCUGGCUAUGAGUUCAUCAGUUUAUUGAUUUUGGGGGGUGGGUACUGGGUCUUUGAUCCAUUUUGAUUUCACUUUUGUGUAUGGUAUAGUUUCAUUCUUUUACAUGUGGAUGCCUAGUUUUCUCAGCACCCCAUUUUUGAAAAGACUGUCCUUUUCCUAUUGAAUGAUCUUGGUCCCU
rnacentral:lncRNA from 1 species